rnacentral:guide_RNA from 1 species
UAACAACGGAGAUAAGUGAUUUAAGUUUGAAGUUAUAUGUGAUU